UACGCUUGUCUCAAAGAUUAAGCCAUGCAUGUCUAAGUAUAAGCAAAUUAUACGUGAACUGCGAAUGGCUCAUUAUAUCAGUUAUAGUUUCUUUGAUGGUCCUUACUACUUGGAUAACCGUAGUAACUCUAGAGCUAAUACAUGCAUCAAUCCCUGACUUCUGGAAGGGGUGUACUUAUUAGAUGGAAACCAAUGCGGGGCAACCGGAUAUUGGUGAUUCAUAAUAAUUAUCGGAUCGACCGUUUGGUCGAUGCAUCAUUCAAGUUUUCUGCCCUAUCAGCUUUGGAUGGUAGGGUAUUGGCCUACCAUGGCAUUAACGGGUAACGGAGAAUUAGGGUUCGAUUCCGGAGAGGGAGCCUGAGAAAUGGCUACCACAUCUAAGGAAGGCAGCAGGCGCGUAAAUUACCCAAUCCUGACACAGGAGGUAGUGACAAUAAAUAACAAUGUCGAGCCUUCGGGUUUGACAAUUGGAAUG
rnacentral:rRNA from 1 species